UACGAAGGGGGCUAGCGUUGUUCGGAAUUACUGGGCGUAAAGCGCGCGCAGGCGGCUAUCCAAGUCAGUGGUGAAAGCCCCGGAGCUCAACUCCGGAACUGCCAUUGAAACUGUUUAGCUUGAGGAUGAGAGAGGUGAGUGGAAUUCCCAGUGUAGAGGUGAAAUUCGUAGAUAUUCGGAAGAACACCAGUGGCGAAGGCGACACACUGGGCCAUUACUGACGCUGAGGCGCGAAAAGCGUGGGGAGCAACAGGAU
rnacentral:rRNA from 1 species